rnacentral:lncRNA from 1 species
AACAAAGCCAAUCACUAACCUCUAUUUGUACAAAACAUUUUGGGUUAAUUAAUUAGGUCCCUGCAAAUACAGUGAAUUAUAAAUAUAUUGCUAUAAAGUUCAACUUUUAUAUGUUGUUUCUAUAAAAAUCCUAAUAUCUUCAAAUACGUCCCUUUGGUUUGUUACCGUUAAAACACUAUUUAUUUUAUAAGUGAAAUAAUUUUUUUGCCAUCACAAAUAUAUGCUUUCAAAAAUUUCAACAGUUAAUUAAAAAGAGGUAAAAAGGUCAAUUCAUCUCAGUAACUAAAUAGAAUUAAGUAUUUUAUCUAUAGGGAUCUAAGGAUGCACAUCUUACACCCAAUUGUCGCCAUCAUUUAAAAUUUUUUUAUUUUUUAUUUUUUAAUAAAAUAAAUAAAUAAAUUUGAACUGUAGAUAUUAAAUAUAAAAAUAUUUAAACAUCGUUCUCUAACUGUUAAAUAUAAAAAUAUUUAAAUAUUGUUCUCUAAAAGCUUAAAUUGUUAGAGAACGGUGUUUGAAUAUUUUUAUAUUUAACAGUAGAGAGUGUAAGAUAUAAGAAUUAUACCGACAUUAUAGGUGCACAUGAAUGUGGUAGUGCUCUUCCACAAAUAUCGAAAUAAUAUCAGUCAACAAAACAAUGUUACUUUUCGCGUCCCGAAUAACAUCAUUUUAACUUGAGGUUACUAUCUUAUUUCUUAGGAUUAGAUUCAUAUGUCGCCGAAAAUAUAGUAAAUUACAAAUAUAUUUCUAUAAAGUUUAAUUUUUAUAAUAUUAUUUUUAUAAAAGUUCUGAUAUUUUCAAAUAUAUUCCUACUAUUAAGAUCAGUUAGAAAAAAUUAAUUAAUCAUAAGUAAAAUACUUAACCGUAGUUAGUUAAUAAGAUGAAUUUACUUAUUUACCCAUCUUCAAUUAACUGUUGGAAUUUUUGGAAGGACGUAUUUGUGAUGGUAAAAAGAUCAUUUCACUUAUAAAAUAAACAGUGCUUUAACGGUAACAAACCAAAAAUAUAUAUUUAAAAAUAUUAAAAUUUUUGUAAGAACAAUAUAUGAAAGUUAAACUUUGUAAAAAUAUAUUUGCAAUUCACUAUGUUUGCAGUGACAUAUAUGAAAUUAAACCUUUUUUUUUUUUAUCGUACCUUCAUUAUUAUCUCAUAUAUCUCAAUAAAAUAUUAGAAAUAAAUUGGACAUAUAUAUUAUCUCUAUAUAUAUGUAU